CCUCAAAUCGGGUGAGACUACCCGCUGAACUUA
rnacentral:rRNA from 1 species